GUGCUUGCUUCGGCAGCACAUAUACUAAAAUUGGAGCGAUACAGAGAAGAUUAGCAUGACCUCUGCAGAAGGAUGACAUGCAAAUUCAUGAAGCAGUCCAUUAGAGA